rnacentral:rRNA from 1 species
CCUACGGGAGGCAGCAGUGGGGAAUAUUGGGCAAUGGGCGCAAGCCUGACCCAGCAACGCCGCGUGAAGGAAGAAGGCUCUCGGGUUGUAAACUUCUUUUCUCAGGGACGAAGAAAGUGACGGUACCUGAGGAAUAAGCUACGCCUAACUACGGGCUAGCAGCCCGGGGAAAACGUAGGUGGCAAGCGUUAUCCGGAUUUAUUGGGGGUAAAGGGCGUGUAGGUGGGAGCGCAAGCCAGAUGGGAAAACUCAGGGCUCAACCCUUAGCCUGCAUUUGAAACUGUGUUUCUUGAGUGCUGGAGAGGCAAUCGGAAUUCCGGGUGUAGCGGUGAAAUGCGUAGAUAUACGGAAGAACACCAGUGGCGAAGGCAGAUUGCUGGACAGUAACUGACGCUGAGGCGCGAAAGCGUGGGGAGCAAACAGGAUUAGAUACCCGAGUAGUC